rnacentral:misc_RNA from 1 species
AAAAUAGAUUGAUUUAAAUUUGAAACUUUUACUUAACGCAAGAGAAAAAGCUAAGAAAAGUACUAAGUAAAAAAGAUACUAAGAAUAAUUGUUUAAACAACGUUUUCUAUCCCGAAACUGUACAAACGAAUAACUUUUACAAUCCAAAAGAUGAUCAUUAUGAAUAUCCGAAUUACACAGAACAAAGAGUUUCCUUUCUCAAAAAAAAAAAAAAAAAAAAAAAAUCAAAUUUACGGCAGCCUAUCCAAACACUGGAGCGUAGCAUUCAAAGUACGGUGGGAAAGGAAGCGAGACAAACGGAUCCACGAAACAUCCAUCAACGCGGAAGAAUCCCAGAGCGUGUGAAAGGGGUUGUAAAAAUCUGCAUGGCCGAGUUUAAUAUCGAGGAACAAACGAUGAUUCCGGUGAGCUGACAAACUCUCUCAUCCCCUUCUUCUCCCCAAUUCCUUUUCUCGAUUGUACUCUUCAUUCUCCCGGCGGAAAAUUUCUUUUCUGCUUACGACUGACUGAUACCUCUCUUUCAUCGGUAGAUAGAAGACUAGAAAAUAAGGCGCAAGGUGUACGUGGAUUCUAUCAGUGAGAAUCAUAUCCACCUGUGCCCAGUGGUCAUUAUCCUGUCUUCGUUUCUUCCAUUUCCUCUUUCCUUCCAUCAUUCUUUUCUUCUUCUUCUUCCGUUCACCAGCAACGUAACAGGGUAAAGAGUGGAACAAAAAGAAAAAAAAGAAAAGAAAAGAGAUCCGAGGGAUGGAAGGAGAGAAUAUUAAAAACUUUUUCCAUAAAGCGUCUUUGCGAGGCGAGACGCCGUUAGAGCGAGCAUGAAAGCUUUGGUUCCUUGCAGUUUCAAGCGUAUCCUCGCCGGUUUUUCCGAAUUAGUUCAGACGGUUUUCCGCGUUGCGCCUCCUAUUUUUCUCGGCUUUUUUUCUUCGCCACUUGGGCCGCGGGUGAA